CCUACGGGAGGCUGCAGUGGGGAAUAUUGGACAAUGGGCGAAAGCCUGAUCCAGCCAUGCCGCGUGUGUGAAGAAGGCCUUCGGGUUGUAAAGCACUUUCAGUGGGGAAGAAAGCCUUGGGGCUAAUACCCUCGAGGAAGGACAUCACCCACAGAAGAAGCACCGGCUAACUCCGUGCCAGCAGCCGCGGUGAUACGGAGGGUGCGAGCGUUAAUCGGAAUUACUGGGCGUAAAGCGCGCGUAGGCGGUCUGAUAAGCCGGUUGUGAAAGCCCCGGGCUCAACCUGGGAACGGCAUCCGGAACUGUCAGGCUAGAGUGCAGGAGAGGAAGGUAGAAUUCCCGGUGUAGCGGUGAAAUGCGUAGAGAUCGGGAGGAAUACCAGUGGCGAAGGCGGCCUUCUGGACUGACACUGACGCUGAGGUGCGAAAGCGUGGGUAGCAAACAGGAUUAGAUACCCCUGUAGUC
rnacentral:rRNA from 1 species